CCCACCCCCAUAAAGUCAACUAAGCACAGCACUUUCUAUUAACUCAUGGCGGAUGCGGCUGCUUAGUGUUAACUGUAGAUCUGUAGGCAGCCUCCUCUGUGGCCCCACAGCAGACUGGCACGUGGACCAGCAAGGUACCCUCCCACCAGGGCUGAGCUGCUGGGCCACCCGGGUCUGUCCUCUCUGGGGAGGGUGAUGUGACCUCUGUGGCUGAGCAACCUGUCUGCAUGUUUCUGUAGGCAGCAUCAGACAUGGCCCGAGGACACCAGGCUGGGAGGAGACAGGGACAGGGCAUGGCCAGGACACUCAAUUCUUGCUCCAAUUUUCUCAUUAACAAGCCAAGUAACCCCCAGAGAAGUCUCCAGCCCUGGAACCUCGGCUUCCCUUCUUUCCAGGCAGGGCUGGGCAAGACAGGAGCCCACGCUAUAACGUGGGGGACAGAGUCCGGGGCACAUGUGGCCCACCAGGAGUCAGGCUGCACAUGUGGGCUCAGGACCAGGCAGCCCCCUCCCAAAGACAAGUGAGUUUCCCUGUAAGCCCCCGGACACUGCCUGGGCUCGGGCCACCGUCUUCCACCUGAAGCUAGUCUCUCUUACCAGGACCCCCUGGAGAAGCACCUGCAGUGGUCCUUGGGCAGUUACUACAUCAGUGGGACGGUCUCUCUGCUCCCACCCGGUGCCACACACAGAAUUAGGACCCUUUUCCUGCAUCCCUAGCAUUUCUGCCCUCAUUUUACAAAUCUAAAAACAGGGGCUUACAGGAGGAAGGCAGCUUGGUGGGGGCCACAAAGUGUCGACCCCACACUGGACACUGGGAGCCUCACAGAAGAGGGGCGUCGAGGGCCUGCCACGGCUAGGCCCCAGCAUCCCUAGCAGGCAGCCCAACAUCCUUCCCCUAGACCCGCUCAGCACCCCAGAGGCUACUGAUGAGCCAGGGGAGCUCAGCCCAAACAGGAAUUGAGCCCAGGACACUGGACACCCGAAGGUGACACAGAUCUGCUUUAGUCAGAGAGAAGGAUGGCCCAAGCUGGGCAGCCACUGCCCGGAAGUGAGAGACUUGCUGGUCACUAGUGGACAAGAAGCGGACUCCUGUACCCCGGCUGCCCAGGUGCCAGGAAACCCAGUGCGGGCCGACAUGCCACCCACCCACCCACCCACUGUGGGAGUGGACGGCCCUCCCAGACCAGGCCCCUUCCAGAGCAAAGGAGGGCACCUGGGACAGAGGGCUCCCCAGAGCACGGCCUGCGUUCCAGUUCACUGGGGCUUUAAAUGGAAGGAAGGAGCACGCGUCUCCCUGCCAGCGGCCCCUCCUCUGCUCUGAUUCCGCCUCUUCUGUACAGUGAGGAGAGCUGUGGCCUCCGGUGGAACAGGGUACCUGGGGCAGGUUGAAUAAGGCCCGCAGGUGAGAGGCCCUGAGCCUGGACCCUGCAGAAGCGACCUGAAAGGACACAGGUAUCCAGUUAAGGACCUGGGCUUGUCCAGUGGCCCUAAUGCAGCCACAGCUGUCCUCAAGAGGGAAAUCAGACGGAGAGCAGAAAGGCACACAGAGGGAGAGGCCACGGGAAAAGAGGCAGAGACUGUGCGGCCACAAGCCAGGGGACACUGGAGCCACGGGAGCUGGAGGAGGACCUCCCAAGGCUCCGCGUUUCCAGAGGAGGAGCAGCACAGAGGACAGGACCCCGGGCUGCCCGUCACGUUGCGCUCUCCACCUGUCAUCCUGCUGACCUUGGCUUCAGGAGUCACCAAGUCCUGUUAUGCCCAGAAGCCCCCAGCCCACUCCAGAGGCAGGCACUGACCCCUCUGCCCUCAGUGGCUCUGUGAUGCAUCUUCCUGGGUUUGUCCCUCAGCCCCACAGAGACCUGCAGCUCCUGGAGAAGGGUGCACUGCAGCACUGUCCCAGCACUGUGCCAUGCACCUUCCCAAGACACCAUGUUGUGACAGUGGCACUGACAGCCUGAGUCCUGGGAGCCAGCAGGCAGCACUAUGGGUCCUGGGUUGAGGUGGGACAGCUCUAUCCAGCUUUAGAGCAGAGGCCCCCAGAAGCCUGGGCCUGCCACUGGGUGGCGGUUCUCCAGGGUGACGGCUGACCCUCCGUGCCUCCUCAGAGUCCUGGCUUAUAUAUAAUAAGGGCUUUGGCUGCCCACAGCUGUCCUGGAGGCCUCUUGCUGGCCUCCUGCUGGCUCGGUCCCCAGAACUCUGCUCUCUGCCCCACCCCCGCACCAUCUCCCUUAGAGAAGGUGCUCCUCAAGCUACCCCCCACCCCUUCAGUUGUUCACAGCACGGGUAGGAGAAGGGUCAUCCCCAGCUCCCCUGGCGAUAGACCCCCACAUGUAGGAGCCCCCUCCAGGGGAUAGUGCAUCAUCAUCACUUGAAGGGCCUCCGGUGACUUCAAGAACAGGUGGGACAUAUCCCUGCAAUUGCAAGGCUUAAGGCCACUCAGAGGGCAGUCUGAGCAAGGGAGGAAUGUGCCAGAGAGCAGCUGUCCCCAGUACCUGAGACUGCUGGCCACUGCCAAAUCCUCUGUCAUGCCAAAAAGAAGCAGAAUAAAACACAGUCAGCCCUUCAUAGCCACAGGUUCUGUACCCACUGAUUCAACAAACACGGAUUGAGAAUAUACAGACGAGUUGCAUCUUCAGUCAGUCAGUGUUUCAUCAUUGUGACAAAAUCCCCAAAAUAAGCAAGUUAAAAACAUGAAAGGCUUAUUUGAGCUCCUAGUUGCAGGGCAUAGUCACCUGGCCCUGUUGCUUUGGGCCUUUGGCGGCAGAAUGCAACAAGGCAAGAGCCCAGGGUGGAGGAGCUGCUCCCCUCACGGCAGCCAGAGAGCAGGGAGAGAGAAAGGGGCUGGCCCACUACCCCUACAAGAGUGCCUCGGUGACCUGACUUCCUCCACGAAGCCCCUAAAGUUCCCACCAACUGCCAAUAGUGCCACCAGCUGGGGACCAAGCUUUUGAACACAUGGGCCUUUGGGGAUCAUUCAAGAUCCAAACUACAGCACACCUGCACUGGGCAGUACAGACAGUUUUCUUGUCAUCAGUCCCUAAGUAAAACAGUAAAGCCAUUAUUUACAUAG